rnacentral:rRNA from 1 species
GUUAGACGAAGCAGCUGAAAACUGCACCAGAGAAGGUGAAAGUCCUGUAGUCGAAAACGGACUCGUCCUAGCUGACUCCCGAGUAGCACGGGACACGUGGAAUCCCGUGUGAAUCAGCGAGGACCAUCUCGUAAGGCUAAAUACUACUGCGUGACCGAUAGUGGAACAGUACCGUGAGGG